CCCACUUCAGCUCCUUCCACACACCAUCCCGAAGAAUGGUGUGCUUCCGGGCCACCCUACUGGUCUCAUGGUGAUCCUUAAUGAUCACCCUGCUAGAUUCUUCCAUUAAAACCUGCAAUGUAAAUGUUAUGUGUAAGAUUGGAGAAUAUCCGCCCGCUGCCUCUCGAUGAAAAAUCCUCGGACAUAGAAAUUUCUCCCCGCUGAAAUUAUUUUUUCCCCGGC
rnacentral:lncRNA from 1 species